rnacentral:rRNA from 1 species
CAACUUUCAACAAUGGAUCUCUUGGCUCUCGCAUCGAUGAAGAAUGUAGCGAAAUGCGAUAAGUAAUGUGAAUUGCAGAAGUCAGUGAAUCAUUGAAUCUUUGAACGCACCUUGCGCUCCUUGGUAUUCCGAGGAGCAUACCUGUUUGAGUGUCAUUA